UUAUUUAAUGGCCGCGGUAUUAUGACCGUGCAAAGGUAGCAUAAUCAUUAGUCUAUUAAUUGUGGACUUGUAUGAAUGGUUGGACGAAAUAUUUACUGUCUCAUAUUUAUUAAUAUAAUUUAAAAUUUUAGUUAAAAUGCUUAAAUUUUUUUAUUGGACGAGAAGACCCUAUAGAUCUUUAUUUAUUAUUUUGUUGAUUAAUUUUGGUUUUUAUAAUUUUUAUUAUUUUAAUAUGUUUUGUUGGGGUGACAUUGAGAUAUUUAUAACUCUUAAUUUUUAUUAAUAAUUAUUUUUAUAUAUUUGACUUUUUAUUAUUGUUAUAAGAUUUAGAUACCUUAGGGAUAACAGCGUAAUUCUUUUUAAGAGUUCUUAUCGACAAAUGAGAUUGCGACCUCGAUGUUGGAUUAAGAUAAUAGAAUGGUGAAGAUGCUAUUUUAUUAGGUCUGUUCGACCUUUAAAUUCUUACAUGAUCUGAGUCA
rnacentral:rRNA from 1 species